rnacentral:rRNA from 1 species
UACGAAGGGGACUAGCGUUGUUCGGAAUUACUGGGCGUAAAGCGCACGUAGGCGGAUUUGUAAGUCAGGGGUGAAAUCCCGGGGCUCAACCAAGGAAGUGCAUCCGAAACUGCUGAGCUUGAGUACUUAAGAGGAUCGCGGAAUUCCCGGUGUAGAGGUGAAAUUCGUAGAUAUCAGGAGGAACACCGGUGGCGAAGGCGGCUUUCUGGACGACAACUGACGCUGAGACGCGAAAGCGUGGGGAGCAAACAGG